AUUGAACGCUGGCGGCAGGCCUAACACAUGCAAGUCGAGCGAGCGGCGGACGGGUGAGUAAUGCCUGGGAAUUGCCCAGUCGAGGGGGAUAACAGUUGGAAACGACUGCUAAUACCGCCUACGAUUGGAUUGCCCAGGUGGGAUUUGCUAGUUGGUGAGGUACUGGCUCACCAGGGGGGCGCUCCCUAGCUGGUCUUAGAGGAUGAUCAGACCCAUUGGAACUGAGACACGUGCCAUACUCCUACGGGAGGCAGCAGGGGGGAAUAUUGCACAAUGGGGGAAACCCUGAUGCAGCCAUGCCGCGUGUGUGAAGAAGGCCUUCGGGUUGUAAAGCACUUUCAGCGAGGAGGCGUUACUCGCAGAAGAAGCACCGGCUAACUCCGUGCCAGCAGCCGCGGUAAUUC
rnacentral:rRNA from 1 species